AUUGAACGCUGGCGGCAGGCCUAACACAUGCAAGUCGAGCGGAUGAAGGGUGCUUGCUCCUGGAUUCAGCGGCGGACGGGUGAGUAAUGCCUAGGAAUCUGCCUGGUAGUGGGGGAUAACGUCCGGAAACGGGCGCUAAUACCGCAUACGUCCUGAGGGAGAAAGUGGGGGAUCUUCGGACCUCACGCUAUCAGAUGAGCCUAGGUCGGAUUAGCUAGUUGGUGGGGUAAAGGCCUACCAAGGCGACGAUCCGUAACUGGUCUGAGAGGAUGAUCAGUCACACUGGAACUGAGACACGGUCCAGACUCCUACGGGAGGCAGCAGUGGGGAAUAUUGGACAAUGGGCGAAAGCCUGAUCCAGCCAUGCCGCGUGUGUGAAGAAGGUCUUCGGAUUGUAAAGCACUUUAAGUGGGGAGGAAGGGCAGUAAGUUAAUACCUUGCUGUUUUGACGGUACCAACAGAAUAAGCACCGGCUAACUUCGUG
rnacentral:rRNA from 1 species